rnacentral:tRNA from 1 species
UAGCUUAAUAGUAGAGCGUUCGACUCAAAUACCAAAGGUCAUGGGUUCGAAUCCCAU